rnacentral:rRNA from 1 species
GACGAACGCUGGCGACGUGCUUAACACAUGCAAGUCGAACGGAAAGGCCCUGCUUUUGUGGGGUGCUCGAGUGGCGAACGGGUGAGUAACACGUGAGUAACCUGCCCUUGACUUUGGGAUAACUUCAGGAAACUGGGGCUAAUACCGGAUAGGAGCUCCUGCUGCAUGGUGGGGGUUGGAAAGUUUCGGCGGUUGGGGAUGGACUCGCGGCUUAUCAGCUUGUUGGUGGGGUAGUGGCUUACCAAGGCUUUGACGGGUAGCCGGCCUGAGAGGGUGACCGGCCACAUUGGGACUGAGAUACGGCCCAGACUCCUACGGGAGGCAGCAGUGGGGAAUAUUGCACAAUGGGCGGAAGCCUGAUGCAGCAACGCCGCGUGCGGGAUGACGGCCUUCGGGUUGUAGACCGCUUUCGCCUGUGACGAAGCGUGAGUGACGGUAAUGGGUAAAGAAGCACCGGCUAACUACGUG